CCUACGGGUGGCAGCAGUGAGGAAUAUUGGUCAAUGGACGAGAGUCUGAACCAGCCAUGUCGCGUGAAGGAAGACUGCCCUAUGAGUUGUAAACUUCUUUUAUAAAAGAAUAAACCUGAGCACGUGUAUUCAUCUGCAAGUACUUUACGAAUAAGGAUCGGCUAACUCCGUGCCAGCAGCCGCGGUAAUACGGAGGAUCCAAGCGUUAUCCGGAUUUAUUGGGUUUAAAGGGAGCGUAGGCGGGUUGUUAAGUUAGAUGUGAAAGUUUCGGGCUCAACUGUCGAAUUGCAUGUGAUACUGGUAGUCUAGAGUGUAGUUGAGGUAGGCGGAAUGCGUGGUGUAGCGGUGAAAUGCUUAGAGAUCACGAAGAACCCCGAUUGCGAAGGCAGCUUACCAAUCUGUGACUGACGUUGAUGCUCGAAAGCGUGGGGAGCAAACAGGAUUAGAUACCCUUGUAGUC
rnacentral:rRNA from 1 species